rnacentral:rRNA from 1 species
ACGGCGAGUGAAGCGGCAAAAGCUCAAAUUUGAAAUCGGCCAUCAGGUCGAGUUGUAAUUUGUAGAUUGUACUUUGAGAGCGGAUUAAAGUCUGUUGGAACACAGCGCCUUAGAGGGUGACAGCCCCGUUAAAAUCUAUUCUCAUUGUAAGGUACUUUCGAAGAGUCGAGUUGUUUGGGAAUGCAGCUCUAAGUGGGAGGUAAAUUCCUUCUAAAGCUAAAUAUUGACGAGAGACCGAUAGCGAACAAGUACUGUGAAGGAAAGAUGAAAAGCACUUUGAAAAGAGAGUGAAAAAGUACGUGAAAUUGUUAAAAGGGAAGGGUAUUGAAUCAGACGUGGUGCUGUUGUUCAACUUUGUUUCGGCAUGGUGUACUCAGCAGUACUAGGCCAAGGUGGGGUGUUUGGGAGUGAAAAAGGAAUAGGAACGUAGCUCUUCGGAGUGUUAUAAACUAUUUUCAUAGCUCCUCAGGCGCCUCAGGACUGCGCUUCGGCAAGGACUUUGGCAUAAUGAUUCUAUACCGCCCGUCUUG